rnacentral:rRNA from 1 species
AGAAUCAACGCUGGCGGCGUGCCUAACACAUGCAAGUCGCACGAGAAAGGGUAGCAAUACCUGAGUACAGUGGCGCACGGGUGAGUAACACGUGAAUAAUCUACCUCCGAGUGGGGAAUAACUGAGAGAAAUCUUAGCUAAUACCGCAUAACACUUACGAGUCAAAGCAGCAAUGCGCUUGGAGAGGAGUUCGCGGCAGAUUAGUUAGUUGGCGGGGUAAUGGCCCACCAAGACGAUGAUCUGUAUCCGGCCUGAGAGGGCGCACGGACACACUGGAACUGAAACACGGUCCAGACUCCUACGGGAGGCAGCAGUGGGGAAUUUUGCGCAAUGGGGGAAACCCUGACGCAGCAACGCCGCGUGGAGGAUGAAAUCCCUUGGGAUGUAAACUCCUUUCGAUCGGGAAGAUAAUGACGGUACCGAGAGAAGAAGCCCGGCUAACUCGUGCCAGCAGCCGC